GACGAACGCUGGCGGCGUGCUUAACACAUGCAAGUCGAACGAUGAAGAAAAGAAUCGAAGCUUCGGCAGAAAUUCAUUUCGGAUUAGUGGCAGACGGGUGAGUAACGCGUGAGCAACCUACCUCUUACAAAGGGAUAGCCUCGGGAAACCGGGAUUAAUACCAUAUAACAUUGUGACGAAGCAUUUCGAUGCAAUCAAAGCUACGGCGGUAAGAGAUGGGCUCGCGUCCCAUUAACCGGAUGGUGAGGUAACGGCUCACCAUAGUGACGAUGGGUAACCGGCCUGAGAGGGUGAACGGUCACACUGGAACUGAGACACGGUCCAGACUCCUACGGGAAGCAGCAGUGGGGAAUAUUGCACAAUGGAGGGAACUCUGAUGCAGCGACGCCGCGUGAGUGAUGAAGGAAUUCGUUUCGUAAAACUCUGUUCUAUGGGAAGAAAAGGACUGUACCAUAGGAGAAAGCUCCGGCUAAAUACGUG
rnacentral:rRNA from 1 species